AUUGGAGAUGUGGAAUCUUUUUAUAAUUUUUCAAUUUUUACGCCCUUUUCCAAUCAAGCAGAUUACUAAGUGGUGAGGCCAGUUCUAAUCACAGGCUGCACCCCACCCUGGAAGGAAGCUGGGUGAUAAACGAUGGGGAUCGCCGGGCCGAGCCCAGUAUCCCGAAAAAACUUUUCAGAAGUUACCAAACCUGGAACGAGAAUCCGGGUCGUCCUGCAUGACACGACGACAGCGUUACCAUUCGGCUAUCGGGAAUUGAAUGCAGAUUCUCCAUCGGCCGGAUUGGUAGCGUGGAAACGCUUCGGCUUUCCACUCAGUGGAGUUGGUGACACCCGAUGCUCGAUAUGUCAGA
rnacentral:lncRNA from 1 species